rnacentral:rRNA from 1 species
UUGUAAAGCUCUUUCACCGGGGAAGAUAAUGACGGUACCCGGAGAAAAGCCCCGGCUAACUUCGUGCCAGCAGCCGCGGUAAUACUAAGGGGGCUAGCGUUGUUCGGAAUUACUGGGCGUAAAGCGCACGUAAGCGGACUGUUAAGUCAGGGGUGAAAUCCCGGGGCUCAACCCCGGAACUGCCUUUGAUACUGGCGGUCUCGAGUUCGGGAGAGGUGAGUGGAAUUCCGAGUGUANAGGUGAAAUUCNUAUAUAUUCGGAGGAACACCAGUGGCGAAGGCGGCUCACUGGCCCCAUACUGACGCUGANGUGCNAAAGCGUGGGGAGCAAACAGGAUUAAAUACCCUGGUAGUCCACNCCGUAAACNAUGGANGCUAGCCGUUGG